rnacentral:tRNA from 3 species
GGUCCGGUAGCUCAGCUGGAUAGAGCAACAGCCUUCUAAGCUGUGGGUCAUGCGUUCGAAUCGCAUCCGGAUCA